AUGGUACGGCAUGUGGUUUACUGGAUUCAAAAGCAAUCCAACGAUUCAUUGAUUUUGUACUUCUGAAUCACUAUCAUCGCUCUGAGUUGGAAUAUUAUGCUGGCAUCAUCUUCAAAUGCUUGGCCUCACAUUGAGACGAGACGCUAGCUUUUGACCCAGAGAUCUGUCACACUCAGUCCAGUAGGAGAUCCAGAUACUACGAA
rnacentral:misc_RNA from 1 species